rnacentral:rRNA from 1 species
AAGCUAUUUAGGUAGCGCCUCGUGAAUUCAUCUCCGGGGGUAGAGCACUGUUUCGGCUAGGGGGCCAUCCCGGCUUACCAACCCGAUGCAAACUGCGAAUACCGGAGAAUGUUAUCACGGGAGACACACGGCGGGUGCUAACGUCCGUCGUGAAGAGGGAAACAACCCAGACCGCCAGCUAAGGUCCCAAAGUCAUGGUUAAGUGGGAAACGAUGUGGGAAGGCCCAGACAGCCAGGAUGUUGGCUUAGAAGCAGCCAUCAUUUAAAGAAAGCGUAAUAGCUCACUGGUCGAGUCGGCCUGCGCGGAAGAUGUAACGGGGCUAAACCAUGCACCGAAGCUGCGGCAGCGACACUGUGUGUUGUUGGGUAGGG